AUUGAACGCUGGCGGCAAGCCUAACACAUGCAAGUCGAACGAGUGGCGGACGGGUGAGUAAUGUCUGGGAAACUGCCUGAUGGAGGGGGAUACCUACUGGAAACGGUAGCUAAUACCGCAUACCAUCGGAUGUGCCCGGAUGGGAUUAGCUAGUAGGUGGGGUAAAGGCUACCCUAGGCGACGAUCCGUAGCUGGGCUGAGAGGAUGACCAGUCACACUGGAACUGAGACACGGUCCAGACUCCUACGGUAGGCAGCAGUGGGGAAUAUUGCACGAUGGGCGCAAGCCUGAUGCAGCCAUGCCGCGUGUAUGAAGAAGGCCUUCGGGUUGUAAAGUACUUUCAGCGGGGAGGCGUUACCCGCAGAAGAAGCACCGGCUAACUCCGUGCCAGCAGCCGCGGUAAUUC
rnacentral:rRNA from 1 species